rnacentral:tRNA from 1 species
GCCGCUAUGGUGAAAUUGGUAGACACGCUGCUCUUUUUAUU